rnacentral:rRNA from 1 species
GGAUUAGAUACCCUGGUAGUCCACGCCGUAAACGAUGUCUACUAGUUGUUGGGAGACUUGAUCUCUUAGUAACGAAGCUAACGCGAUAAGUAGACCGCCUGGGGAGUACGCACGCAAGUGUGAAACUCAAAGGAAUUGACGGGGACCCGCACAAGCAGCGGAGCAUGUGGUUUAAUUCGAAGCAACGCGAAGAACCUUACCAGGUCUUGACAUACAGAUGACCGACUCUUAAUCGGGUCUUUCCUUCGGGACAUCUGAUACAGGUGGUGCAUGGUUGUCGUCAGCUCGUGCCG